rnacentral:rRNA from 1 species
AGAACGAACGCUGGCGGCAGGCUUAACACAUGCAAGUCGAGCGAGGACUUCGGUCCUAGCGGCGGACGGGUUAGUAACGCGUGGGAACGUGCCCCUUUCUUCGGAAUAGCCUCGGGAAACUGGGAGUAAUGCCGGAUACGCCGGAUCACUGAGAGGUGGUCUGGGAAAGAUUUAUCGGAGAGGGAUCGGCCCGCGUUGGAUUAGGUAGUUGGUGGGGUAAUGGCCUACCAAGCCGACGAUCCAUAGCUGGUUUGAGAGGAUGAUCAGCAACACUGGGACUGAGACACGGCCCAGACUCCUACGGGAGGCAGCAGUGGGGAAUCUUGGACAAUGGGGGCAACCCUGAUCCAGCCAUGCCGCGUGAGCGAUGAAGGCCUUAGGGUUGUAAAGCUCUUUCAGCGGGAAGAUAAUGACGGUACCCGCAGAAGAAGCCCCGGCUAACCUCCGUCGCCAGCAGCCGC